UGAGGAAUAUUGGUCAAUGGGCGGGAGCCUGAACCAGCCAAGCCGCGUGACGGAAGAAGGCGCUAAGCGUCGUAAACGUCUUUUGCCGGGGAACAAAGGCGCGGACGCGUCCGCGUGUGAGUGUACCCGGAGAAAAAGCAUCGGCUAACUCCGUGCCAGCAGCCGCGGUAAUACGGAGGAUGCGAGCGUUAUCCGGAUUUAUUGGGUUUAAAGGGUGCGUAGGCGGCCUGUUAAGUCAGCGGUAAAAGCCCGGGGCUCAACCCGGCGAGCCGUUGAACUGGGGGCGUAGAGACGGCGAGAAGUACGCGGAAUGCGCGGUGUAGCGGUGAAAUGCAUAGAUAUCGCGCAGAACUCCGAUUGCGAAGGCAGCGUACCGGCGCCGGACUGACGCUGAGGCACGAAAGCGUGGGUAUCGAACAGGAUUAGAUACC
rnacentral:rRNA from 1 species